rnacentral:rRNA from 1 species
GAUGAACGCUGGCGGCGUGCUUAACACAUGCAAGUCGAACGAUUAAGCCCAGCUUGCUGGGUGGAUUAGUGGCGAACGGGUGAGUAACACGUGAGUAACCUGCCCUUAACUCUGGGAUAAGCCUGGGAAACUGGGUCUAAUACCGGUUAGGCGCGUCCACCGCAUGGUGGGUGUUGGAAAGAUUUAGCGGUCUUGGAUGGACUCGCGGCCUAUCAGCUUGUUUGUGAGGUAGUGGCUCACCAAGGCGGCGACGGGUAGCCGGCCUGAGAGGGUGACCGGCCACACGGGGACUGAGAGACGGCCCAGACUCCUACGGGAGGCAGCAGUGGGGAAUAUUGCACAAUGGGGGAAAGCCUGAUGCAGCGACGCCGCGUGAGGGAUGACGGCCUUCGGGUUGUAAACCUCUUUCAGUAGGGAAGAAGCGAAAGUGACGUUACCUGCAGAAGAAGCACCGGCUAACUACGUG